UCCAGACUCCUACGGGAGGCAGCAGUGGGGAAUAUUGCACAAUGGGGGAAACCCUGAUGCAGCGACGCCGCGUGAGCGAGGAAGUAUUUCGGUAUGUAAAGCUCUGUCAGCAGGGAAGAAGAAUGACGGUACCUGAAGAAGAAGCACCGGCUAAAUACGUGCCAGCAGCCGCGGUAAUACGUAUGGUGCAAGCGUUAUCCGGAUUUACUGGGUGUAAAGGGAGCGCAGGCGGUUCUGCAAGUCUGAUGUGAAAGCCCGGGGCUCAACCGCGGGACUGCAUUGGAAACUGCGGGACUGGAGUGUCGGAGGGGUAAGCGGAAUUCCUGGUGUAGCGGUGAAAUGCGUAGAUAUCAGGAGGAACACCGGUGGCGAAGGCGGCUUACUGGACGAUGACUGACGCUGAGGCUCGAAAGCGUGGGGAGCAAACAGGAUUAGAUACCCCAGUA
rnacentral:rRNA from 1 species